CUCCGAGCCCAGCGCCAGCUGCACCAUCAUCCGGUCCUGUUUGUCCCCGUCCUCGGACAUGAAGUGCCCCAGCUCGUUCACGUCCCCAUCGUUGUAGCUGCCAUCCACCAUCAUGGGCCGGGGCUGAGGCAGCUGAAAGCAGCACUCUGCAGUUUCAAAGCCUUGAACAUUUCCAGACUUCUGCCACACCUUUUACCAGGGGCAAUAAAAUGACACUGGAGAUAGAAAACCUCACCUUGUCCCGCAGUUUCCUCUCCUUCCGCUCUUGCACUGUUGUCAGGAAACACGAGGCAUGGAGGCAUUCACCCCAGUGAUGAUCGUGGACAUGGUCAGCACAGUGGUUAUCCCUGGGAAUGCACCAGCAGAAGAGAUCAUAAGAUGCUUUCAAACCAGAC